AAGCACACCGGUCACAGUGGACUAGGCCCAUUCUGAUGACUUCACCUAAACUCGAUCACCUCUCUAAAGACCUUAUCUGCAAAUAAGGUCCUAUUCUCAGGUCCUGGGGGUUAGGACUCUAGCAUAGCUUUUGGAGUGGGAGGGGCUGGGGACACAGUUCUACCCGUAGCAGGGACGUGGCAGGGGUAAGCUGAGGGAAGUCUUUUACGAUCACCCAGAAGUUCAUGAAUUACUACAGUCUCCAGAUGGCUUUUACAACGUGUCCCGGGCCGUUAAGGAGGCAGAAAUGAAGCGAUUCCGCUGGUGUCAGAGGAAGAAGCCACCCUAUUCUCCCAGUGUCAGUGACAGCAAAAACGUGGCCCAUCUUUCCCUGGAGCCAUAGGAGCCUUUAUGACAAAACCUGGAGAAGUUCUUGAACUUGGGACUUUAUGGAAGAAGUGAAACGUUAGAUGACUGGACCCAUAUUGGAAAUGAAAACCAUAAUGGCCUGAAAAAAAAACCAAAAACACUACUGUGAAACACAGGGAAAUUAUAAAAUUAACUUCUAUUUUCUACUUGAUUAAAAAACUAGUGAAAACCUUCAAAGAG